GAGAAAAAUCGGAGAUGCCAGAGGUGCAGCUCCAGCAGCAAUGGCAGUAAUGGCGUUGGCGGCGAGGACGUGGCUUGGCGUUUGGGGCGUGAGGACCAUGCAAGCCCGAAGCUUCGGCUCGGAUCAGUCCGAGAAUCUCGAUCGGGGCGCGGGCUCCAUCCGGGAAGCUGGUGGGGCCUUUGGAAAGAGAGAGCAGGCUGAAGAGGAACGAUAUUUCCGAGCACAGACUAGAGAACAACUGGCAGCUUUGAAAAAACACCAUGAAGAAGAGAUCGUUCAUCAUAAGAAGGAGAUUGAGCGUCUGCAGAAAGAAAUUGAGCGGCAUAAGCAGAAGAUCAAAAUACUAAAACAUGAUGAUUAAGUGCACACAGUUCCCCACAGAAUGGCACAUGUCAUUGCCCACUUCUGUGUAGACAUAGUUCUGGUUUAAUUAAUAUUUGUCUGUGUGCUACUAACAGAUUAUAAUAAAUUGUCAUCAGUGAAAAAAAAAA